UACGGGGGGGGCAAGCGUUGUUCGGAAUUACUGGGCGUAAAGGGCUCGUAGGCGGCCAACUAAGUCAGACGUGAAAUCCCUCGGCUUAACCGGGGAACUGCGUCUGAUACUGGAUGGCUUGAAUCCGGGAGAGGGAUGCGGAAUUCCCGGUGUAGCGGUGAAAUGCGUAGAUAUCGGGAAGAACACCCGUGGCGAAGGCGGCUCUCUGGUACGGAACUGACGCUGAGACGCGAAAGCGUGGGGAGCGAACAGG
rnacentral:rRNA from 1 species